AGCUGACGCCAGGAUAGUCAUGACUUGCACGUGGGCGAGGUCAAGUGGGAAUUCUUUUGCACCUUGAGACCACGUGGCUCAUCAGUCAGCGACAAGAAUGAAGACUACCAGUUGGCGUACAGUGCGAGCCUAAAGCAGGAUCCACUGAAGUUAUAACUUAAAUCUGAAAUCAAGUCAGUUUUGAUAAUAUUGUGCAAAAGAAACAGAACACCAAAUCUUCCCGUUUGUAUGCCUUUUGUGAUGACAGGGCCUGCAAAACGGAGCUCUUCCACCAGGCUUUUGA